ACCCCGCUUUUUCCUAGCUAAAUUUAGAGUAAUUUUGAACUUAGAAGUCAGGAUGAUUCACACCGGAUAUAAAGAAAAUGAAUUUAUUUUUAAUUCCAACAAAAAUGAUUUACAAAAAAAAAAAACAUUUGUAAAUUUAGUUAUUAAAUUUAUAUGCAUUGCAUAUUUAUUUAAUUUAGCAUUCAAGUAUUUUUCAUGAAAUAUUUAUUUAGCAAACCCUGAAAUAUUUAUUACAGUCCCGAUAUAUUAUCUAUGUUCUUAAUAGCCACCCUAUAUCAUGAUUAUUUUUUUUAAGCAUACAUACCAUUAUGCAGACAAUAAAAUCCUUCCAUAUCUCAUCCUCAAUCCACUACUCAUCAAUGGUGCUACACUACUCACCAAUCCACUACUCCCACCACCAACGUUAACACCCACUACUCCCUCCCACUACACCCACCCCACUACUCCCACCUUUUUAAAAAAACAAUCACACUUCUACACGUUAAUACCUCCACUUCGAUCAGUGUAUGCCGUUCUCAGUUUUAUUUUUAUUUCUUUCGGUCUUGUUUUCAUGAAGAUAAUCUUCUAACUUUUGCAACCCUUUCCUGCAACAACAAUUUGGCAGAAGAACUCCCAAAAUUCAAUUCCUCAAGGCUUUGUGACCAGGGGGAUUAGCGCUGCUUUCCCAAGACAGGUUUUUAUGUGUAUGAUCUUCAGGCUUUGCCUAUCCAGGUUGGCUGGCUGGUGCUGACGGGACGGAGCUGAGGCUAGAGUUAAAAUUCAUAUGUUAGACUUCCGCUGUAGCAAUUACUCUUAUACAUCUUUUGUUUUCUCAACUUAAGAUGACUUCAUGUCGAGCUUAAAUUUGAAAUUCUACUUUUAUGCUAAUGAAUGUUGGUUGUCAGAAACAUGAAACAAAACUUGUGAUCCAAAGGGGCAUAGCCCGACUUUCUAUCCUAUUUCGGGUUUUUACAAGGUUGUUCCUUGUUUAUUUCUAUGAAUUAGUUGCACCUCGAUUAUAUUUAUUCAUUCAAGAAUUGGGGUGUGACAGAAUGGUAUCAGAGCAUGAGUUUUCUUUCAUGUCUCUGAUAACCAUAAGUUUUUGAUGUCGAGUCUAGAAUAGUAUCUCUAGACUUCUAAGAAUGUCAGUAGCCCUCAGCUCGCCGUCACACUGCCACAACUAAGGUACGAUAAUAGUUUCAAAAAUAUAGAUGUAUAUUCAAAGCUAUGAAAAUUUUCAAGAAAAUGUGCGCCUUAUGUUUAUGAUGUUAUGUGAAUGCAAAUUAUCCUUCAUGUUGUUAUUUUGGGUCUCUGACUCAUAUAACUAAGCUCAAUGUCGUGUUUGGGACUACCCGAGCCCUUAACGAAUCAAUGUAUGUAUGGUCGAGUUAGAUUCCUUGAAUCUUUCCGACAUAAGCAAAAGUUUUCAUGAAAGGGACAUUUAAUGUCCAUAUUGCUCAAAGUUACAAAGAAAGAGAAUGUAUGUAUGUAUGUAUGUAUGAAUGUAUGUAUGUAUGUAUGUAUGAAUGAAUGUGAAAGUUUUAUGUUAUCAUUUUAGGUUCACUGCCUAUAUGAUUAGAAUGACGAGUUCUUUUACAAACCGUUUGAGAACCACCUAAUAAUGCCUUACGAAUGCUAGUCGUGAUAGCACCGCUAGAACGACAUAGAAUGGACUUAUAUGAUACCAAAGAUUUAUGAUUGAAGUACUUAGAAGUAAGUGCUUUAAGUUAGAAGUUGACUUAGAGCUUUAUAAGAGAUAAGAAGUUGACAUGAUUGGGGGCGAAGCUCCCAUUUGACUGAGUGAUUCGUUGUGCUGGGUCUGGCCAGCCCACAUGACUAUGAUCUUGGUGAUUGUCAAUUUAGUCAUUCCAAUGUAUAAACUCGUACUAUAUAGUUGUCCCAAUAAGAUCUUCUUUGAUCACGAUAAGCAUAGUAAGAUUAGAAUGAGUUCGUUUGUCAACAGUUCUCGAGACUAUAGACAUGGUGUUCUCACAAUUAGAAAGAUGCGAUAACAAUCAAGCUAUGUAGCCGCACUGAUAGUGAAGUCUAGUAUCCCAAACUAGAUUACCAAGAUAUGCAAUUUCGAGGACGAAAUUUUUAUAAGGAGGGAGGGAUGUAACACCCCGCUUUUUCCUAGCUAAAUUUAGAGUAAUUUUGAACUUAGAAGUCAGGAUGAUUCACACCGGAUAUAAAGAAAAUGAAUUUAUUUUUAAUUCCAACAAAAAUGAUUUACAAAAAAAAAAACAUUUGUAAAUUUAGUUAUUAAAUUUAUAUGCAUUGCAUAUUUAUUUAAUUUAGCAUUCAAGUAUUUUUCAUGAAAUAUUUAUUUAGCAAACCCUGAAAUAUUUAUUACAGUCCCGAUAUAUUAUCUAUGUUCUUAAUAGCCACCCUAUAUCAUGAUUAUUUUUUUUAAGCAUACAUACCAUUAUGCAGACAAUAAAAUCCUUCCAUAUCUCAUCCUCAAUCCACUACUCAUCAAUGGUGCUACACUACUCACCAAUCCACUACUCCCACCACCAACGUUAACACCCACUACUCCCUCCCACUACACCCACCCCACUACUCCCACCUUUUUAAAAAAACAAUCACACUUCUACACGUUAAUACCUCCACUUCGAUCAGUGUAUGCCGUUCUCAGUUUUAUUUUUAUUUCUUUCGGUCUUGUUUUCAUGAAGAUAAUCUUCUAACUUUUGCAACCCUUUCCUGCAACAACAAUUUGGCAGAAGAACUCCCAAAAUUCAAUUCCUCAAGGCUUUGUGACCAGGGGGAUUAGCGCUGCUUUCCCAAGACAGGUUUUUAUGUGUAUGAUCUUCAGGCUUUGCCUAUCCAGGUUGGCUGGCUGGUGCUGACGGGACGGAGCUGAGGCUAGAGUUAAAAUUCAUAUGUUAGACUUCCGCUGUAGCAAUUACUCUUAUACAUCUUUUGUUUUCUCAACUUAAGAUGACUUCAUGUCGAGCUUAAAUUUGAAAUUCUACUUUUAUGCUAAUGAAUGUUGGUUGUCAGAAACAUGAAACAAAACUUGUGAUCCAAAGGGGCAUAGCCCGACUUUCUAUCCUAUUUCGGGUUUUUACAAGGUUGUUCCUUGUUUAUUUCUA